rnacentral:lncRNA from 1 species
UUUUUUUUUUUUUUUUUUUUUUUUUUUUUUUUUAGAUGGAGUCUCUCUCUGUUGCCCAGGCUGGAGUGCAUUAGUGUGAUCUCAGCUCACUUCAGCCUCUGCCUCCCAGGUUCAAGUGAUUCUCCUUCCUCAGUCUCCUGAGUAGCUGGGAUUACAGGUGCCUACCACCAACUCCAGCUAAUUUUUGUAGUUUUAGACAGGAUUUCUUCGUGUUCACUAGGCUGGUCUCAAACUUCUGACCUCAAGUGAUCCACCCACCUCGGCCUCCCAAAACGCUGGGAUUACAGGUGUGAGCCACAGCACCUGGCCCCAUUUGUGCCUUUUUAAGGUCCAUUAUAGUAGUUACAUUUCUAGAAAAACUAAAAGAAAUUCUGAGAUACAAUGUGAAAUGGAAUUUGGCAAGCAGCUCUUAAUAUCACUUUUACUUAGCAUGCAUUAGACACCUACAGUGCAGGUGAGGAACACUGCUAGGUGUCCUGCAGAGACAGGACGGAUGGGUGCCAUCAGCAAGCAUGCAUCAGAUCCCAAAGUACCUUCUCUAUGGGGCAUCUUGAGUUUUCUUUGCAGCUGUGGUCUUUUUUUUUUUUUUUUCCCUUACUUGGGGGUGCUCUGCUAGAACCAGGUUAAAUAGAAUUUUGUUUUCACUAUACUUUACUGUUCUUUUUCUGAGCUGGCAUCACUAGACUAUCCAGUUGUCUUGAUUGCAGCAGUCUAAAUCAAUUGGCUCUUCCCUCAAUCUACCUCAUUCACACAAUCUUUCAGCCACAGGAGCACAUCUCACAAAAAUGAGAAGUGUCUUUCCUAGUAACUGCCAUCUGCUUCAAUUGGCUGCCUGGUAAAACUAUUGUGAACUUGCUGAAUCACUGCUGUGUUGCUCAUAGCUGUGUCCAAACUGUGAAAAUUGCUCAGUCUCUGAUCAUGUCUCGCCUUGGUAGGUACGGGUCACUAGCACAAUUGGUGUGAUGGUUCAUUUUAAGCAUCAUUUUGGCUGGGCUACAGUGUCUAGACAUGUGGCCAAACAUUAUUCCAGACGUUUCUGUAGGUGUUCUUGGAUGAGAUUUUUACAUUUAAAUGGAUGGGCUUUGAGUAAAGCAGAUCACCCUCAUAAUGAGGAUGGACCUCAUCCAAUCAGUUGAAAGACUGAAUAAAACAAAAGACUAAGCAAGAGUGGAUUCGGCAGCCUAUGGCCUUCAGGCUUGAACUGCAACAUGGACUCUUCCUGGGUCUCCAGGUUGCCAGCCCAACCUGCAGAUUUUGGACUUGUCAGCCUCCAUAAUUAUGUGAACCAAUUCCUUAAUAUCAACUUCUUCAUAUACCUAUAUAUACAGUCACACACUGCAUAACAAAGUUUUGGUCAAUAAUAGAUCACAUAUAUAACGGUGGUCUCAUGAGAUUAUAAUAGAGUAAUAUAAUGUAUUAUUAUAUAUUAUAAUAUAUUAUUAUAUAUAAUAUAUUCUAUAUAAUAUAUUAUUAUAUAUAAUAUAUUCUGUCAUUAUAUAUUAUAUGUCAUUAUAUAUGAUGUAUAUAUGUCAUUAUAAUAUAUAAUGAUAUAUGUCCUUUAAUAUAUAUUAUAUAUUAUGUCAUAUAAUAUAUAAUCAUAUUAUAUAUUAUGUCAUGAAAUAUAUAAUCAUAUAUUGUAUAUUAUAUGUCAUGAAAUAUAUAAUCAUAUAUUAUAUAUUAUAUGUCAUGAAAUAUAUAAUCAUAUAUUAUAUAUUAUAUGUCAUGAAAUAUAUAAUCAUAUAUUAUAUAUUAUAUGUCAUUUAAUAUAUAAUCAUAUAUUAUAUAUUAUAUGUCAUUUAAUAUAUAAUCAUAUAUUAUAUAUUAUGUCAUUUAAUAUAUAAUCAUAUAUAUGUCAUUAUAAUAUAUCAUGAUAUAUUAUAUAUUAUAUGUCAUUAUAAUAUAUCAUGAUAUAUUAUAUAUUAUAUGUCAUUAUAAUGUAAUAUAUUAUUAUAUAAUAUAUUAUUAUAUAAUAUAUUACAUUAUAUAUAAUAUAAAUAUAUAAUAUAUAUGAUAUAUAUUAUAUAUUACAUAAUUAUAUAUUAUAUACAUUAUUAUAUAUUAUAUAUAAUAUAUUACAUUAUUUAUUAUAUAUUAUAUAUAAUAUAUUACAUUAUGUAUUAUAUAUAAUUGUAUAUAAUAUAAUAUAUAUUAUUAUAUAACAAAAUUCCUAUCACCUAGUGAUUUCAUAGCCAUCGUAAUGUCACAGGACAACAUAUUACCCAACAAGGCUGUGGUUGAGACAGCAAACAAUGGUUCCUGAGAAACUGACUAAUGAGUUUUUGGAACUGGAACCAGAACCCAUAGCUGAAGAAGAGGCAAGAGAAAAGAAACUGCAGGAGAAGAAAAGAAGAAACCCCUGAGAAAAUUCACAGUGAAGCAUUUGGCAGAAGCUUUUGCUUGUUUUUCUUUAAAAAGUUUUUUUUUCUUUAAAAAGUUUGAAAGUGACCUCUGAAGUUUGAAAGUGACCACUGAAAGGUUUUUAUUAAUAGAGAGGAAUGUUCAUGUUGCAUUAUCUGCUUACAAACAUAUCUGUGAUGAAAAAAAGAAAGAACCAAGAAAACUGCUAUGGACAUAUUUCUGAAAAGAGCGACACCUCCUCAAGAAGAUCCUCAGUCAGGUCCUUCAGGCCAUGUUCCAGAAAAAGGCAUUGCUAUCACAGGAGAUGACAGCCCC